rnacentral:rRNA from 1 species
AGCCUGAACGCUGGCGGCGUGGCUAAGACAUGCAAGUCGUACGGAUGUAGCAAUACAUCAGUGGCGAACGGGAGAGUAAUAAAUCGCUAAUGUACCCCGGACUCUGGGAUAGCUACCCGAAAGGGUAGGUAAUACCAGAUGAUAUAACCUUAUCGCAUGAUAAGGUUCUCAAAGGUCCGCCGGUCUGGGAGCAGGCGAUUCCGUAUCAGCUAGUUGGUGAGGUAACGGCUCACCAAGGCGAUGACGCGUAGCCGGACUGAGAGGUUGGCCGGCCUCAUUGGGACUGAGACACUGCCCAGACUCCUACGGGGGGCUGCAGUAACGAAUCUUCCGCAAUGCACGAAAGUGUGACGGAGCGACGCCGCGUGUGGGACGAAGCCCUUCGGGGUGCAAACCACUGUCAGGGGAUAGAAAGUUCUGAUCAUCCCCAGAGGAAGGCACGGCUAACUCUGCGCCAGCAGCCGCGGU